rnacentral:tRNA from 1 species
GCCGACAUAGCUCAAUGGUAGAGCAGGCGCCUUGUAAGCGUCAGGUUGAGAGUUCGAGUCUCUCUGUCGGCUCCA